CGAUAUUUUUGUUUUUGUUUUUCUAGAAAUGUUAAAUGAUAUUAUAAUUCAAGUUAUUAUAGCUUCUGCUGGGGUUACUUUAGUCAAUAGCGAUAAAUUAAAAUUUCUUCACAAAUUUAGUUAGAACAUAUACACAUGCAUAUAUAUAUAAUAUGUAUAUAUGUUUUCAAAAUGUGCUCAAACGUAUAUAUUAUAUGUACACAUGAAUUUGUAUGUUUGUUUAUGUACACAUGUAUAUAUAUUUAUUCACGUUUGUUUGCAUGUGUAUAUAUGUGUGCUUAUUUGUACGCAUUCAUUUGUGCAUUUGUCAUAUAUACAUGUAACUGUUUUAAAUUCUUAUUUUUUCCAAUUUUUUUUAUUUCUUGUAUUUUAGGAUAUACUAUCUAUGUUAUAAUUUUGUCGUUUUUACUAUAUAAAUGUAUACCAUGGAAUAGAGAAAAUUACUAUACGUAUUUAAAUAUCACACCUAACGCCACAAAACAAGAAAUACAAACAGCAUAUAGACAAGCAGCUAAAAUUUAUCACCCCGAUAAAAACCCAGACGAAUAUGCUAAUUCAUCUUUUAUAAAAUUAAAAGAAGCAUAUGAUAUUUUGACUGAUGAUGUAAGAAGAAGUAACUACAACAGAUUUGGCGAUUAUAAAAAUGGAGAUGUUGACGAUAGCACUGCAACGUUAUUAAUAUGUCUUUCACUUGUUCAACAUACUAUGUUUUUUAUUAUAGGCUAUUUUUUGUCAUACCCUAAGAAGUUAGAAUUUUCAAGACAGAUAUUUUUUGUGUAUAAUAUCGCUAGUUUUUGUUUCGAACUACAAUUUCGAUUCAUAGAAGAUGAUACAACAUUAGACUGGCUACCGUCAGUAGGGUAUUUAUUACCUUAUGAGAAAAUAAAAUUAUUAAGGAUGUUAUUCCCUCUAGUUUUUUUUAUAAGUAUUUGUUCAUCAGUUUUUACUUACACUGAUAAAAAUGCAACAUUAUUAUAUUUAAUGCGUUCGAUUUUAUCGACGAAUAGAAUAAUUGUUGAACGAUCUAAUGAUGUUAUAGAAUCAACCAACUAUUUAAAAAAAAAUGGAGAACAACUAAUUACGAAAUUGCAACAAAUUCGAAAAGAUAAUACACCAACUCCAACAAUAAAACUUAACAGUACUGAUAAAGAGAAUAAGGAAGGUACAGGAAAUGAAAAGAAAAAUGAAAAAAAUAAAACAAGUGAAGAAAGUUUAUUAGAAAAUGUACGAGAAUUUACAUUAAGUCUUGAUUCACAACAAAUGGAUUUAUUAAAAAAUUGUUUUGAUACGAUGAAAAAUAAAAAUAUGAUGAAUAAAGACAAAAAAAAAAAAUCUUGGUUUGAAAUGUUUUCCGUUCAAGUAAUAUUUGGUAUUAUAUUUAUUUAUGUAUGGUUAACAACUAAAUAAUGACACACACAUAUGAAUUACGUGUGUAUUGGGAAAAAAAAAAAAAAAAAAAUAAUAAUAAACAAAUAAAUAAACAGAUCA
rnacentral:lncRNA from 1 species